rnacentral:rRNA from 1 species
CCUACGGGGGUCAGCAGUGAGGAAUAUUGGUCAAUGGACGAGAGUCUGAACCAGCCAAGUAGCGUGAAGGAUGACUGCCCUAUGGGUUGUAAACUUCUUUUAUAUGGGAAUAAAACGUUCCACGUGUGGGAUUUUGUAUGUACCAUAUGAAUAAGGAUCGGCUAACUCCGUGCCAGCAGCCGCGGUAAUACGGAGGAUCCGAGCGUUAUCCGGAUUUAUUGGGUUUAAAGGGAGCGUAGGUGGCUUGUUAAGUCAGUUGUGAAAGUUUGCGGCUCAACCGUAAAAUUGCAGUUGAAACUGGCAGUCUUGAGUACAGUAGAGGUGGGCGGAAUUCGUGGUGUAGCGGUGAAAUGCUUAGAUAUCACGAAGAACUCCGAUUGCGAAGGCAGUUCACUGGACUGCAACUGACACUGAGGCUCGAAAGUGUGGGUAUCAAACAGGAUUAGAUACCCUUGUAGUC